GAUGAACGCUGGCGGCGUGCCUAAUACAUGCAAGUCGAGCGAACAGACGAGGAGCUUGCUCCUCUGACGUUAGCGGCGGACGGGUGAGUAACACGUGGAUAACCUACCUAUAAGACUGGGAUAACUUCGGGAAACCGGAGCUAAUACCGGAUAAUAUAUUGAACCGCAUGGUUCAAUAGUGAAAGACGGUUUUGCUGUCACUUAUAGAUGGAUCCGCGCCGCAUUAGCUAGUUGGUAAGGUAACGGCUUACCAAGGCAACGAUGCGUAGCCGACCUGAGAGGGUGAUCGGCCACACUGGAACUGAGACACGGUCCAGACUCCUACGGGAGGCAGCAGUAGGGAAUCUUCCGCAAUGGGCGAAAGCCUGACGGAGCAACGCCGCGUGAGUGAUGAAGGUCUUCGGAUCGUAAAACUCUGUUAUUAGGGAAGAACAAAUGUGUAAGUAACCAUGCACGUCUUGACGGUACCUAAUCAGAAAGCCACGGCUAACUACGUG
rnacentral:rRNA from 1 species